rnacentral:rRNA from 1 species
GUAGGUGGCAAGCGUUGUCCGGAAUUAUUGGGCGUAAAGCGCGCGCAGGCGGUUCUUUAAGUCUGAUGUGAAAGCCCACGGCUCAACCGUGGAGGGUCGUUGGAGACUGGAGAACUUGAGUACAGAAGAGGAAAGCGGAAUUCCACGUGUAGCGGUGAAAUGCGUAGAGAUGUGGAGGAACACCAGUGGCGAAGGCGGCUUUCUGGUCUGUAACUGACGCUGAGGCGCGAAAGCGUGGGGGAGCAAACAGGAUUAGAUACCCUGGUAGUCCACGCCGUAAACGAUGAGUGCUAAGUGUUAGGGGGUUUCCGCCCCUUAGUGCUGCAGCUAACGCAUUAAGCACUCCGCCUGGGAGUACGGCCGCAAGGCUG